rnacentral:rRNA from 1 species
GACAGAGGGUGCAAACGUUGUUCGGAAUUACUGGGCGUAAAGCGCGUGUAGGCGGCUCGGUAAGUCGGAUGUGAAAGCCCUGGGCUUAACCUAGGAAGUGCAUUCGAAACUCCCGAGCUUGAGUUCUGGAGAGGAAGGCGGAAUUCUCGGUGUAGAGGUGAAAUUCGUAGAUAUCGAGAGGAACACCGGUGGCGAAGGCGGCCUUCUGGACAGUGACUGACGCUGAGACGCGAAAGCGUGGGGAGCAAACAGG